UGCCAGACUCCUACGGGAGGCAGCAGUGGGGGAUAUUGCACAAUGGGGGGAACCCUGAUGCAGCGACGCCGCGUGGGUGAAGGAGCACCUCGGUGCGUAAAGCCCUAUCGGCAGGGAAGAAACAGACGGUACCUGACUAAGAAGCCCCGGCUAACUACGUGCCAGCAGCCGCGGUAAUACGUAGGGGGCAAGCGUUAUCCGGAUUCACUGGGUGUAAAGGGGGCGUAGACGGCGACGCAAGUCUGGAGUGAAAGCCCGGGGCCCAACCCCGGGACUGCUCUGGAAACUGCGUCGCUGGAGUACGGGAGGGGCAGGCGGAAUUCCUGGUGUAGCGGUGAAAUGCGUAGAUAUUAGGAGGAACACCAGUGGCGAAGGCGACUUUCUGGACAGUAACUGACGUUGAGGCACGAAAGUGUGGGGAGCAAACAGGAUUAGAUACCCGUGUAACG
rnacentral:rRNA from 1 species